rnacentral:rRNA from 1 species
GACGAAGGGGGCUAGCGUUGUUCGGAAUUACUGGGCGUAAAGCGCGUGUAGGCGGUUGCCCAAGUCGGGUGUGAAAGCCUUGAGCUCAACUCAAGAAAUGCACUCGGUACUGGGUGACUAGAGGACCGGAGAGGAUAGUGGAAUUCCCAGUGUAGUGGUGAAAUACGUAGAGGUUGGGAAGAACACCAGUGGCGAAGGCGGCUAUCUGGACGGUUUCUGACGCUAAGACGCGAAAGCGUGGGGAGCAAACAGG